UGCAGUCGAGCGGAUGACGGGAGCUUGCUCCUUGAUUCAGCGGCGGACGGGUGAGUAAUGCCUAGGAAUCUGCCUGGUAGUGGGGGACAACGUUUCGAAAGGAACGCUAAUACCGCAUACGUCCUACGGGAGAAAGCAGGGGACCUUCGGGCCUUGCGCUAUCAGAUGAGCCUAGGUCGGAUUAGCUAGUUGGUGGGGUAAUGGCUCACCAAGGCGACGAUCCGUAACUGGUCUGAGAGGAUGAUCAGUCACACUGGAACUGAGACACGGUCCAGACUCCUACGGGAGGCAGCAGUGGGGAAUAUUGGACAAUGGGCGAAAGCCUGAUCCAGCCAUGCCGCGUGUGUGAAGAAGGUCUUCGGAUUGUAAAGCACUUUAAGUUGGGAGGAAGGGCAGUAAGCGAAUACCUUGCUGUUUUGACGUUACCGACAGAAUAAGCACCGGCUAACUCUGUGCCAGCAGCCGCGGUAAUACAGAGGGUGCAAGCGUUAAUCGGAAUUACUGGGCGUAAAGCGCGCGUAGGUGGUUUGUUAAGUUGGAUGUGAAAGCCCCGGGCUCAACCUGGGAACUGCAUCCAAAACUGGCAAGCUAGAGUACGGUAGAGGGUGGUGGAAUUUCCUGUGUAGCGGUGAAAUGCGUAGAUAUAGGAAGGAACACCAGUGGCGAAGGCGACCACCUGGACUGAUACUGACACUGAGUGCGAAAGCGUGGGGAGCAAACAGGAUUAAAUACCCUGUAGUCCACGCCGUAACGAUGUCAACUAGCCCGUUGGAAUCCUUGAAAAUU
rnacentral:rRNA from 1 species